GACGAACGCUGGCGGCGUGCUUAACACAUGCAAGUCGAGCGGAAAGGCCACUUCGGUGGUACUCGAGCGGCGAACGGGUGAGUAACACGUGAGUAAUCUGCCCCUGGCUUUGGGAUAGCCACCGGAAACGGUGAUUAAUACCGGAUACGACCACUUCUCGCAUGGGAUGGUGGUGGAAAGUUUUUUCGGCCAGGGAUGUGCUCGCGGCCUAUCAGCUUGAUGGUGAGGUAAUGGCUCACCAUGGCUUCGACGGGUAGCCGGCCUGAGGGGGUGACCGGUCAGACGGGGACGGAGACACGGCCCAGGCUCCUACGGGAGGCAGCAGUGGGGAAUAUUGGACAAGGGGCGGAAGCCUGAUCCAGCAACGCCGCGGGAGGGAUGACGGCCUUCGGGUUGUAAACCUCUUUCAGCAGGGACGAAGCGCAAGUGACGGUACCUGCAGAAGAAGCACCGGCCAACUACGUGCCAGCAGCCGCCGUAA
rnacentral:rRNA from 1 species